rnacentral:rRNA from 1 species
AUGCACGCUGGCGGCGUGCCUAAUACCUUCCAGUCGAGCGAACAGACGAGGAGCUUGCUCCUCUGACGUUAGCGGCGGACGGGUGAGUAACACGUGGAUAACCUACCUAUAAGACUGGGAUAACUUCGGGAAACCGGAGCUAAUACCGGAUAAUAUAUUGAACCGCAUGGUUCCAUAGUGAAAGACGGUUUUGCUGUCACUUAUAGAUGGAUCCGCGCCGCAUUAGCUAGUUGGUAAGGUAACGGCUUACCAAGGCAACGAUGCGUAGCCGACCUGAGAGGGUGAUCGGCCACACUGGAACUGAGACACGGUCCAGACUCCUACGGGAGGCAGCAGUAGGGAAUCUUCCGCAAUGGGCGAAAGCCUGACGGAGCAACGCCGCGUGAGUGAUGAAGGUCUUCGGAUCGUAAAACUCUGUUAUUAGGGAAGAACAAAUGUGUAAGUAACUAUGCACGUCUUGACGGUACCUAAUCAGAAAGCCACGGCUAACUACGUG